AACACAUGCAAGUCGAGCGGAUGAAGGGAGCUUGCUCCUGGAUUCAGCGGCGGACGGGUGAGUAAUGCCUAGGAAUCUGCCUGGUAGUGGGGGAUAACGUUCCGAAAGGAACGCUAAUACCGCGUACGUCCUACGGGAGAAAGCAGGGGACCUUCGGGCCUUGCGCUAUCAGAUGAGCCUAGGUCGGAUUAGCUAGUUGGUGAGGUAAUGGCUCACCAAGGCGACGAUCCGUAACUGGUCUGAGAGGAUGAUCAGUCACACUGGAACUGAGACACGGUCCAGACUCCUACGGGAGGCAGCAGUGGGGAAUAUUGGACAAUGGGCGAAAGCCUGAUCCAGCCAUGCCGCGUGUGUGAAGAAGGUCUUCGGAUUGUAAAGCACUUUAAGUUGGGAGGAAGGGCUGUAGGCUAAUAUCCUGCAGUUUUGACGUUACCAACAGAAUAAGCACCGGCUAACUUCGUGCCAGCAGCCGCGGUAAUACGAAGGGUGCAAGCGUUAAUCGGAAUUACUGGGCGUAAAGCGCGCGUAGGUGGUUCGUUAAGUUGGAUGUGAAAGCCCCGGGCUCAACCUGGGAACUGCAUCCAAAACUGGCGAGCUAGAGUACGGUAGAGGGUAGUGGAAUUUCCUGUGUAGCGGUGAAAUGCGUAGAUAUAGGAAGGAACACCAGUGGCGAAGGCGACUACCUGGACUGAUACUGACACUGAGGUGCGAAAGCGUGGGGAGCAAACAGGAUUAGAUACCCUGGUAGU
rnacentral:rRNA from 1 species